GAUGAACGCUGGCGGCGUGCCUAAUACAUGCAAGUAGAACGCUGAAGGAGGAGCUUGCUCUUUCCGGAUGAGUUGCGAACGGGUGAGUAACGCGUAGGUAACCUGCCUGGUAGCGGGGGAUAACUAUUGGAAACGAUAGCUAAUACCGCAUAACAGUAGAUAUUGCAUGAUAUUUGCUUGAAAGGGGCAAUUGCUCCACUACCAGAUGGACCUGCGUUGUAUUAGCUAGUUGGUGAGGUAACGGCUCACCAAGGCGACGAUACAUAGCCGACCUGAGAGGGUGAUCGGCCACACUGGGACUGAGACACGGCCCAGACUCCUACGGGAGGCAGCAGUAGGGAAUCUUCGGCAAUGGACGGAAGUCUGACCGAGCAACGCCGCGUGAGUGAAGAAGGUUUUCGGAUCGUAAAGCUCUGUUGUAGGAGAAGAACGAGUGUGAGAGUGGAAAGUUCACACUGUGACGGUAUCUUACCAGAAAGGGACGGCUAACUACGUG
rnacentral:rRNA from 1 species